UCUUGGUCAAUUUAGAGGAAGUAAAAGUCGUAACAAGGUUUCCGUAGGUGAACCUGCGGAAGGAUCAUUAUCGAGUUCAGAAGCGAGGUUGUAGCUGGCCUUCUCGGAGGCAUCGUGCACGCCUCGCCCGUCCCAUAUCAUACCUGUGAACUUUUUGGUAGGCGGGUUUGUGUCGGCCUCGAAAGGGGUCGACCGGCCCUCCGGCCGUCUUUAUAUACACACCAUACGAAGUCUUUAGAAUGUUUGUGCGUCUCGACGCAUCUUAUAUAUAACUUUCAGCGACGGAUCUCUUGGCUCUCGCAUCGAUGAAGAACGCAGCGAAACGCGAUAAGUAAUGUGAAUUGCAGAAUUCAGUGAAUCAUCGAAUCUUUGAACGCACCUUGCGCUCCUCGGUAUUCCGAGGAGCAUGCCUGUUUGAGUGUCAUGAAAUUAUCAACCCCUUCUCCUUUAUUGGUGGUGGGGCUUGGACUUGGAGGCUUUGCGGGCUUUUAAACGAGUCGGCUCCUCUCAAAUGCAUUAGCUCGAACCCUUGCGGAUCGGCCAUCGGUGUGAUAUAAUGUCGACGUCGUGGUCGUGAGCGUCGGAUCGGCUUCUAAUGGUCCCCUUUCGGAGACGGAAUUUGAACUUGGACCUCAAAUCAGGUAGAU
rnacentral:rRNA from 1 species